UAUUAUCAACCCCUCCAGCUUUUGUAGUUGGUUUUUGGUGGUUUGGAUCUGGAGGUUUUGCAGGCACUUUUGAAGUGUCAGCUCCUCUAAAAAGCAUUAGCAGAAUGGGUUUGCAAUCUCUCAACUGGUGUGAUAAUUGUCUACACUAGUGGAUUGCUCUCCGAAUGUUCAGCUUCUAAUUGUCUCUCACUGAGGAGACAGCUUAUACUGAAC
rnacentral:misc_RNA from 1 species